rnacentral:rRNA from 1 species
GACGAACGCUGGCGGCGUGCUUAACACAUGCAAGUCGAACGGAAAGGCCCUGCUUUUGUGGGGUGCUCGAGUGGCGAACGGGUGAGUAACACGUGAGUAACCUGCCCUUGAUUUUGGGAUAACUUCAGGAAACUGGGGCUAAUACCGGAUAGGAGCUCCUGCUGCAUGGUGGGGGUUGGAAAGUUUCGGCGGUUGGGGAUGGACUCGCGGCUUAUCAGCUUGUUGGUGGGGUAGUGGCUUACCAAGGCUUUGACGGGUAGCCGGCCUGAGAGGGUGACCGGCCACAUUGGGACUGAGAUACGGCCCAGACUCCUACGGGAGGCAGCAGUGGGGAAUAUUGCACAAUGGGCGGAAGCCUGAUGCAGCAACGCCGCGUGCGGGAUGACGGCCUUCGGGUUGUAAACCGCUUUCGCCUGUGACGAAGCGUGAGUGGCGGUAAUGGGUAAAGAAGCACCGGCUAACUACGUG